rnacentral:rRNA from 1 species
CCUACGGGAGGCAGCAGUGAGGAAUAUUGGUCAAUGGGCGCAAGCCUGAACCAGCCAAGUAGCGUGAAGGAUGACUGCCCUACGGGUUGUAAACUUCUUUUAUAGGGGAGUAAAGUGAGGCACGUGUGCCUUUUUGUGUGUACCUUAUGAAUAAGGAUCGGCUAACUCCGUGCCAGCAGCCGCGGUAAUACGGAGGAUCCGAGCGUUAUCCGGAUUUAUUGGGUUUAAAGGGAGCGUAGAUGGGUUGUUAAGUCAGUUGUGAAAGUCUGGGGCUCAACCGUAAUAUUGCAAUUGAUACUGGCAGUCUUGAGUGCAGGUGAGGUAGGCGGAAUUCGUGGUGUAGCGGUGAAAUGCUUAGAUAUCACGAAGAACUCCGAUUGCGAAGGCAGCUUACUAGACUGCCACUGACGUUGAUGCUCGAAAGCGUGGGUAUCAAACAGGAUUAGAUACCCGAGUAGUC